GGGUGCAUACCAGAGUGGCCAAAUGGGACAGACUGUAAAUCUGUUGGCUCUUGCCUUCGGUGGUUCGAAUCCAUCUGCACCCACCA
rnacentral:tRNA from 1 species